rnacentral:rRNA from 1 species
GGGUGCGAUCAUACCAGCACUAAUGCACCGGAUCCCAUCAGAACUCCGCAGUUAAGCGUGUCCUUAUUAAUUACACCAA